GGUUGUAUGGUGUAGUGGUAGCACAUGAGAUUCUGAUCAAUGCUCGGAGCUUUCUCGUGACCUGGGUUCGAUCCCCAGUACGACCU